rnacentral:rRNA from 1 species
GAUGAACGCUGGCGGCGUGCCUAAUACAUGCAAGUCGAGCGAACAGACGAGGAGCUUGCUCCUCUGACGUUAGCGGCGGACGGGUGAGUAACACGUGGAUAACCUACCUAUAAGACUGGGAUAACUUCGGGAAACCGGAGCUAAUACCGGAUAACAUGUUGAACCGCAUGGUUCAACAGUGAAAGACGGUCUUGCUGUCACUUAUAGAUGGAUCCGCGCCGCAUUAGCUAGUUGGUAAGGUAACGGCUUACCAAGGCAACGAUACGUAGCCGACCUGAGAGGGUGAUCGGCCACACUGGAACUGAGACACGGUCCAGACUCCUACGGGAGGCAGCAGUAGGGAAUCUUCCGCAAUGGGCGAAAUCCUGACGGAGCAACGCCGCGUGAGUGAAGAAGGUCUUCGGAUCGUAAAACUCUGUUAUUAGGGAAGAACAAAUGUGUAAGUAACUAUGCACGUCUUGACGGUACCUAAUCAGAAAGCCACGGCUAACUACGUG